GGAGAGGUGUCCGAGCGGUUUAAGGUGCAGUCCUGGAAAGACUGUGUGCAGAAAUGCACCGGGGGUUCGAAUCCCCCCCUCUCCG
rnacentral:tRNA from 1 species